CAGAGAUAUACACCAAUACAAAAACCUCAGAACAAAAACCUGAAAGAAAUCCAUCAUUAUGCAAAGAACAAAUUGAUGAAAUCCAACAUGUCUUUUUGGGAUAUGAGGUAGAAACCCUGUUUAACAAUUUUAAUGAGCUUCUUGUUUUUGUUGAAGCAGUCAGUGAAGCUGUAACACUGUGAUUCGGGUUUAGACGUCUGGGGUAAAGGAACCACAGUUACUGUUAAAUCAGAAGGUCCAGAUGUGACUCCAACCCUCUACGUCCUGAAUCCCCAGAAACCCGGCAACACCCUGAACAAAGCGGAUCAGCUGAAUUCAGAUGUCUGUCUGGUCACAGAUUUCCAUCCGAAGGUGGAUGACGUGGUUCCAAAGGUGACAGGUGGUCCGGUCAGUGUGACCACUGAUGAUGCUGUUUCCUCAAAGAAUAACAAAUACAAUGCAGCAUUGAGAAACAAAACCAUCCACUCCUGUGGGAUGAACGGGAUGUUCAGUGAUGAAGCAGAUGAUGCAUGUGGGAACAUUUAUCCAGAAAAAGCCAAGCUGAACUUCUACCUGCUGCUGAUGAACGGAGUCCGAGUGGUGUUCACCAAAGCUCUGGCCUUCAGCACCAUCCUCACCAUCAGAGGCCUGAUCUUCUGACAAUGAGCCUUAAAGGCCACCAUACAGACAAAUUGUCUACACCUUAAAAAUACUGGAAUACAAUAAAUUUUAAUUAAUUCUCUUCAGUUUAAUAAAAAUGCAAACUAUAAUGAAAAUAAUCACAAAGAAAAUAAUUAAGUUGAAAGUCAAAUAUAGACUAAUGUUAAAACCAUAAACAGAAUCUAAGUAUGCUGAAAUAAUGAU